CAAAACUCUGCACGCUGCGGCAUCGAAGUCCUGUGUACGGGUGCACGUAUGCGCUUGGAUACGGGAUAGCCUGCCCUCAACGGAUGUUCAACAGUGUACGCACGCUGCGCGUACGCGUACGUAUGAGACUAGUUGCUGGUGUCCUACUGGAGUUGAGAAGAGAUCUGCUGCCUGCCAUGAGGCCAUGUCUCUCAAGUUACCGCAAUAUUGUUGCCUUCAAACCUGUCGAGACAAGGUUUCUUUACAUGGCCAUGGCCCUCAAGGAAGAAACCGAGACUGCAGACUGCCAACGUUCAUUCCUGUUCCGGCAAAGACGGGCCAGCAGUAACCAGCUGGGUUUUACAAAGUGAACUCAUCACAGCUUGAGCCACUCCAUGCCACAAGCAGUUGCUCGCUCGAGCCACCGUGCAAAGGUUCCUUGGGGCACAAGUCCAACUCAGCGCCACCACCUUUCUUCUGCAGUUUUUCUACCUACUUAGCUAACCAGCAGCAAGUUUAUCCUUGCAAGGCAUGUGGGAACAGCUUUCACCAGGAAACAGUGCAAGACGAGUGGUCGAAGAAAAUAAAAUUGCUUCUCUGAUCUAAAGUACUU